AUGCACGCUGGCGGCGUGCCUCAUACCUGCAAGUCGCGCGAACAGACGAGGAGCUUGCUCCUCUGACGUUAGCGGCGGACGGGUGAGUAACACGUGGAUAACCUACCUAUAAGACUGGGAUAACUUCGGGAAACCGGAGCUAAUACCGGAUAAUAUAUUGAACCGCAUGGUUCAAUAGUGAAAGACGGUUUUGCUGUCACUUAUAGAUGGAUCCGCGCCGCAUUAGCUAGUUGGUAAGGUAACGGCUUACCAAGGCGACGAUGCGUAGCCGACCUGAGAGGGUGAUCGGCCACACUGGAACUGAGACACGGUCCAGACUCCUACGGGAGGCAGCAGUAGGGAAUCUUCCGCAAUGGGCGAAAGCUUGACGGAGCAACGCCGCGUGAGUGAUGAAGGUCUUCGGAUCGUAAAACUCUGUUAUUAGGGAAGAACAAAUGUGUAAGUAACUAUGCACGUCUUGACGGUACCUAAUCAGAAAGCCACGGCUAACUACGUG
rnacentral:rRNA from 1 species